UUGUCACGUUUCACAGUCAGGUCUGUGAAAGCGUCUGAGGUUUGCUGCAGAACGUUUGUAAACCAACAACAUCGUGAAGAUGAAGGAAGAUAGCAGACUGGAAAAGAAAACAUCAGCCGGCAAAAGAAUAUGCCGAUAUUGUCGAAAAGAAACACGAUUUUACAAUUGCUGUGUUUCCAUUAAAUAAGAAACGCAAUUAAAAUGACACACAAAAAUGUUUGCUCACAUGAUAAGUCAAAAAAAAAAGAAAGAAAAAUGCUGCGCCAUCAUCCUUCAACUACUUUCUGUCGUCUUCUUCUUUGCGGUUUGUGCCAGUGGCAACAUACGGUUGUUGAUCAUGUGACUCGUGUGAUGUGAAAAAAAGUGUUUCCAUUGGAGUUUAUAAAAAGUUUU